rnacentral:lncRNA from 1 species
AUGUGCAGUCUCAGGGAUGGACUUAGAGGAAGAAGCCUGAUCUUUUGGAACAUGCUGAGGAAUGCCCCCACCAACCAGGAACACCUGCAUGGGAUUAUACACUGCUUUAAACCUUGGAAAGCCACUAGCAAUGCUCUUCAAGAACAGCUGGACACAACAGCAGAAUCUUUCUGCAGACAGGAAUUUCCUGGAAUAAAACUAUUGACCAUCGAGUGUAAUGGAAUAAAGUUCUCAUUAGUUUCUUUCUCUUGGGUAGUUUGAGUUCUUUUUUCCUUGUUAUGGAGCUAAUUAAGAUUAUAGGAAACUAGAGCUACUUAGAA